GGAUAUGGCGAAAUUGGUAGA
rnacentral:tRNA from 1 species